rnacentral:misc_RNA from 1 species
GAUGAAGAACGUAGUGAAAUGCGAUACUUGGUGUGAAUUGCAGAAUCCCGUGAACCAUCGAGUCUUUGAACGCAAGUUGCGCCCGAAGCCAUUAGGCCGAGGGCACGCCUGCCUGGGCGUCACACGUCGUUGCCCCCCCAUCUACUCCUUCGGGAUUGCGGGGGGCGGAUGAUGGCCUCCCGUGCGCCUCGUCGCGCGGUUGGCAUAAAUGCCAAGUCCUCGGCGACGCACGCCACGACAAUCGGUGGUUGCGAAACCUCGGUUGCCCGUCGUGUGCGGUCGUCGCGCAUCGAGGGCUCGAAAAACUUGUCGGGCUCCGGCUCGGCUUUCAACGCGACCCCAGGUCAGGCGGGGUUACCCGCUGAAUUUAAGCAUAUCAAUAAGCGGAGGA